rnacentral:rRNA from 1 species
GAUGAACGCUGGCGGCGUGCCUAAUACAUGCAAGUCGAGCGAACGGACGAGAAGCUUGCUUCUCUGAUGUUAGCGGCGGACGGGUGAGUAACACGUGGAUAACCUACCUAUAAGACUGGGAUAACUUCGGGAAACCGGAGCUAAUACCGGAUAAUAUUUUGAACCGCAUGGUUCAAAAGUAAAAGACGGUCUUGCUGUCACUUAUAGAUGGAUCCGCGCUGCAUUAGCUAGUUGGUAAGGUAACGGCUUACCAAGGCAACGAUGCAUAGCCGACCUGAGAGGGUGAUCGGCCACACUGGAACUGAGACACGGUCCAGACUCCUACGGGAGGCAGCAGUAGGGAAUCUUCCGCAAUGGGCGAAAGCCUGACGGAGCAACGCCGCGUGAGUGAUGAAGGUCUUCGGAUCGUAAAACUCUGUUAUUAGGGAAGAACAUAUGUGUAAGUAACUGUGCACAUCUUGACGGUACCUAAUCAGAAAGCCAUGGCUAACUACGUG